rnacentral:rRNA from 1 species
AUGGAGGUCGCCGACGUGGUCCGUUCGGGAGCCGUCUGCUCUGCCUGGCGCUCCGCCUGCGCCACGUUCCGCCGCCUCCGCCUCCCCACGCCGAACCAGCCGCCCUGCCUGCUCUACGCCGCCGGGGACGCCGACGCUGCCGUGCUCUACUCCUUGUCCACCAACGCCACCUUCCGCCUACCGCCGCUCCACAGCGUCAUCGGCUCGGCGCACGGGUUGGUGUUCACCACCGACGAGGCGGCCAACCCUUACCUCCUCAACCCCGUGACCGGCGCCCGGGCCGCGCUUCCGCCGAUCACGGCCCUCGAGCGCGUCAAGAGCAGCUUCCUGGACGGCGAGGGGAACACUGUGUACGACGUCGACCACGCGUGGGGAGGCGAGCCCGACAACAUGCAGCACGUGACGGCGCACAAGGCGAGAGGCUGGAUAUGGGUCUACCCUGGCUUCCCCACUGUCGUUCAAGACGACAAGAAAAGUGGCUUGUUUUACGUGCUACGCUCCGCCGGCAGCCUGCACGCUUUGGAUCUGAGUGGUCCGUCCCCGGUGACGUGGCGCGUGGCGACCACGAUGGGAAAUCUCGUCCCUAUGCACAGCCCCUAUCUCAUCCCCACGCCGUGCGGCCGCAGCGUCUUGCUGGUGACGAGAAGCUUGUUCAGGUCCGUGGAGUUUCCGGAGGACGGGAAAGAGAAGAGCUCAGACGGGCGUGACAGACGUCGCAUCAACGCCAUCACCACCGGCAUCUCGAUCGAUACGAUUGGUUUCAACGGGAGAAGGCUAGAGAGGCCGAAAGGCGUGGUGGACAGUGCUAUGUUCCUUGGGCGCAACUCGCCCAUAUGGCUUCCCGUCGCGCGUUACCCCAUGCUGAAGCGGAACUGCGCCUAUCUGGUCGACGACUGUCAGCAGACCAGUCUUCCCAUCGCGCGGAGGGACCAUGGCAUUUGGGACUUCGACAGCGAAAGCCUACACAAGCCUACCGCCGUGUGGCCUCACCGUAAAGUUGUCGUCCUCGUCCUCCUUCUCCUCCUCCAUGCGAUGAGCGCCAAGCACGCGAGCUUCCACCGCUCCUUCUCGUUAGUGGUUGCAGAGCCGAAGCGUUCAGCGAGGCGCUCCUCUUCGCAGAGGGCGGCGUCUACUUCGAGGGCGGAGAGCUUUCAGCAUGAGCCCGACUGGGUCCUCGGGCUCGAGAUGGGCCUCAUCAAGGACGAAUGGGAUGAUGGGACCAAUGUGGGUUGCGACAACAUUGAUGGGGACGGUGGCACCCUUGGCGCCAGAUUCACCACGACCGUUGCGACGGGAGCCGCCAGAUCCCUACACCCAUCAUUAGUGAGGCGUGGGAGCCGCAACAAGAGGAGGAUCUGGUGA